UACGUAGGGUGCGAGCGUUGUCCGGAAUUAUUGGGCGUAAAGAGCUUGUAGGCGGUUUGUCGCGUCUGCUGUGAAAACUCGGGGCUUAACUCCGGGCCUGCAGUGGGUACGGGCAGACUAGAGUGCGGUAGGGGAGACUGGAAUUCCUGGUGUAGCGGUGAAAUGCGCAGAUAUCAGGAGGAACACCGGUGGCGAAGGCGGGUCUCUGGGCCGUAACUGACGCUGAGGAGCGAACGCGUGGGGAGCGAACAGG
rnacentral:rRNA from 1 species